rnacentral:rRNA from 1 species
AGAGUUUGAUCAUGGCUCAGAUUGAACGCUGGCGGCAGGCCUAACACAUGCAAGUCGAACGGUAACAUUUCUAGCUUGCUAGAAGAUGACGAGUGGCGGACGGGUGAGUAAUGCUUGGGAACUUGCCUUUGCGAGGGGGAUAACAGUUGGAAACGACUGCUAAUACCGCAUAAUGUCUUCGGACCAAACGGGGCUUCGGCUCCGGCGCAAAGAGAGGCCCAAGUGAGAUUAGCUAGUUGGUAAGGUAACGGCUUACCAAGGCGACGAUCUCUAGCUGUUCUGAGAGGAAGAUCAGCCACACUGGGACUGAGACACGGCCCAGACUCCUACGGGAGGCAGCAGUGGGGAAUAUUGCACAAUGGGGGAAACCCUGAUGCAGCCAUGCCGCGUGUGUGAAGAAGGCCUUCGGGUUGUAAAGCACUUUCAGUUGUGAGGAAAAGUUAGUAGUUAAUACCUGCUAGCCGUGACGUUAACAACAGAAGAAGCACCGGCUAACUCCGUGCCAGCAGCCGCGGUAAUACGGAGGGUGCGAGCGUUAAUCGGAAUUACUGGGCGUAAAGCGCACGCAGGCGGUUUGUUAAGCUAGAUGUGAAAGCCCCGGGCUCAACCUGGGAUGGUCAUUUAGAACUGGCAGACUAGAGUCUUGGAGAGGGGAGUGGAAUUCCAGGUGUAGCGGUGAAAUGCGUAGAUAUCUGGAGGAACAUCAGUGGCGAAGGCGACUCCCUGGCCAAAGACUGACGCUCAUGUGCGAAAGUGUGGG